rnacentral:rRNA from 1 species
AUGAACGCUGGCGGCGUGCCUAAUACAUGCAAGUCGAGCGAACAGAUGAGGAGCUUGCUCCUCUGACGUUAGCGGCGGACGGGUGAGUAACACGUGGAUAACCUACCUAUAAGACUGGGAUAACUUCGGGAAACCGGAGCUAAUACCGGAUAAUAUAUUGAACCGCAUGGUUCAAUAGUGAAAGACGGUUUUGCUGUCACUUAUAGAUGGAUCCGCGCCGCAUUAGCUAGUUGGUAAGGUAACGGCUUACCAAGGCAACGAUGCGUAGCCGACCUGAGAGGGUGAUCGGCUACACUGGAACUGAGACACGGUCCAGACUCCUACGGGAGGCAGCAGUAGGGAAUCUUCCGCAAUGGGCGAAAGCCUGACGGAGCAACGCCGCGUGAGUGAUGAAGGUCUUCGGAUCGUAAAACUCUGUUAUUAGGGAAGAACAAAUGUGUAAGUAACUAUGCACGUCUUGACGGUACCUAAUCAGAAAGCCACGGCUAACUACGUG